AAGUUACACGGAAUAUGUCUGCCUCUCCUGUCUCACCUCCUUCACCUCUUCCACCUCUGCCACCCUGAGACAGCAAGAAAAACUCCACCCUUUUUUCCUCUUCCUGAGCCUAUCAACAUGAGGACAAUGGGAAUGAAGAUUUUAUGAUGAUCCACACCCACUAAGUGAAUAGGGUCUCACCACUGCAGCCAUCAUCAAAAGUGGUUAUUACCAAGACUAGAUUGCAGCUCCGGACAGAGCAGCUGGCAGGGACUCAUAUUGUGAAUUGCAGCUCCAGCUCGACUGCAAGAACAAACCAGCAAUCCCGAGAGGACCCACAGACCCUCUAAAGGAAGUGGACUGCUCCUGCAGGACCUGGGAGACACCCCAAAUAUUAUCUAUAAACUCAAUUUUAGGAAGUCAAGUAUCUUCCCGAAAGUCACACAAGUAAAGAUGGACUUGGGUCUCUAAUCCAUUUGUUUGACUUCAAAACAUGUUAUCUCCAUUCCACUACCUCUUCUGUUCAGUGGAAUGAAAGAGGUUAAAACAGUUCACAGGGUCCAUGGAGUGAAUGAAAAAUGAAAAUGGGAAGAUAAAAUACAGAUUAUAGUUUUCAAGGAUUGGAGCUGGAAGGAGUUGCCUGUUUGAGAGCUGUGUUAAGGUCUGAGAAACAUGUGCAUGUUGUGCACUGCAAGAAAGGAAUCAAGAGGAAGGAGAGGAUGGAGAUAUAGAAGAUGAAAAUCAGCCAGAGUAACAAGGCUCCAGGAAAGCCACAUGGCUAUGUGCAUCCCUUAGAGAAACAAAUUGGAAAAAGGCACCUAAAUCAAUGCUGAAGACACACAGAAUAUUGAAGGAUCAACUCUACUUCUUCGAAAUAUACUUUAAUACUUUCACUGCCAAACCAGAGUUCAAGAAAUAACUGCGGUGGAAUGAUAAUGAGAAGUUUAACAGUUUUAUGAUGGUUGAAGCUGACUUUAUGAAAGUUGAUAAAUUUCAUCUUGUAGGUUUCAAUUUCUCAUUCCCUACCGAGAGAUGGGGAGAAUACAUUGACACUGCAUUUCAAAUUGGCUAGAUCAGAAGGAACAGCAGCUAAAAUCCAUUACAACCCAAUUACAUCCAUCAGCUGAAGCUGUGUGCAUUCACUUGUGAACAUCAGCAUUUAAUCCAUAAAGAGGAACUAAUGAGAAAUUUGAAAAUGGAAUCCACGCAUCAGUAAGUUUAGAGAGAUUUUUCUGGGAUUAAUGAUCUGCCAGAGCAUCUUCAGCAUUCUGGAAAGCUAUUCUCUCUGGGUUUGUUUACUGACCAAGAGAAAAAAAAAGGGGGUUUCCUUCUGUCUGCUCAUCAAAUAUUUGAAAGACUACUCAUUUCAGUCCUUGAAAAUGGGAUACCGUGAGCUUUGGAAGUAAGGUCAAGUCUGGGUCAAGUCUGGCUUCCUGAAACUAUAGCCUGGUGUUCCAUCCUAUAGAAAGGGGGAAAGAGAAAAUGGAUGUCAAGCAUAUGUUUCCAAAAUUUUGAAUACAAGUAACAGACAGAGAAAAAUGGUACAAAGGGUUAAAAGCAGUCUUAGUAACAUUGGAGAUGUGGAGAGAAAAUUAGAAGAGAGAAGCAGAAAUAAGGAGGCCCUGAGUCACAAGUAAG
rnacentral:lncRNA from 10 species